UGAGGAAUAUUGGUCAAUGGACGAAAGUCUGAACCAGCCAUGCCGCGUGCAGGAUGAAUGCCCUAUGGGUUGUAAACUGCUUUUAAUAUAGGAAUAAACCUCUUUACGUGUAAAGAGCUGAAGGUACUAUAAGAAUAAGGACCGGCUAACUCCGUGCCAGCAGCCGCGGUAAUACGGAGGGUCCAAGCGUUAUCCGGAUUUAUUGGGUUUAAAGGGUCCGCAGGCGGAAGAAUAAGUCAGUGGUGAAAUCCUAUCGCUUAACGAUAGAACUGCCAUUGAUACUGUUUUUCUUGAGUAUACUUGAAGUGGGCGGAAUGUGUCAUGUAACGGUGAAAUGCAUAGAUAUGACACAGAACACCGAUUGCGAAGGCAGCUCACUAAAUUAUAACUGACGCUCAUGGA
rnacentral:rRNA from 1 species